rnacentral:rRNA from 1 species
AGAACGAACGCUGGCGGCAGGCUUAACACAUGCAAGUCGAACGCGCCCUUCGGGGUGAGUGGCAGACGGGUGAGUAACGCGUGGGAACAUACCCUUCGGACUGGAAUAACUGGGGGAAACUUCAGCUAAGACCGGAUACGUGCGAGAGCAGAAUGAUUUAUCGCCGAAGGAUUGGCCCGCGUCCGAUUAGCUAGUUGGUGUUGGUAAUGGCUCACCAAGGCGACGAUCGGUAGCUGGUCUGAGAGGAUGACCAGCCACAUUGGGACUGAGACACGGCCCAAACUCCUACGGGAGGCAGCAGUGGGGAAUAUUGGACAAUAGGCGCAAGCCUGAUCCAGCCAUGCCGCGUGAGUGAUGAAGGCCUUAGGGUUGUAAAGCUCUUUCGCACGCGACGAUAAUGACGGUAGCGUGAGAAGAAGCCCCGGCUAACUUCGCGCCAGCAGCCGC